AGUUGGUGCCGCAGGCAGAGCGCUGCGGAGAAUAGGGAAACAGGUGAAAGGCCUGUGCGAUCUCGUCACUGUAUGCAGUAGCGUGUUGCAAAAAAUGUCACUGAGAAAUCGGGAAGGCUGCAAUACGUGUUGAUCUGUGAGCCAGGAGACCUGCCAGCUGUG
rnacentral:ncRNA from 1 species